rnacentral:rRNA from 1 species
UACGUAGGGCGCAAGCGUUUAUCCGGAAUUAUUGGGCGUAAAGAGCUCGUAGGCGGUUGUCGCGUCUGCCGUGAAAGUCCGGGGCUCAACUCCGGAUCUGCGGUGGGUACGGGCAGACUAGAGUGAUGUAGGGGAGACUGGAAUUCCUGGUGUAGCGGUGAGAUGCGCAGAUAUCAGGAGGAACACCGGUGGCGAAGGCGGGUCUCUGGGCCGGAUACUGACGCUGAGGAGCGAAAGCGUGAGGAGCGAACAGG